CCUACGGGAGGCAGCAGUGGGGAAUCUUGCGCAAUGGCCGAGAGGCUGACGCAGCGACGCCGCGUGGGGGAUGAAGCAUUUCGGUGUGUAAACCCCUGUUGCUCGGGACGAACGAUCCUUUUCGAGGGAUGUGACGGUACCGAGUGUGGAAGCACCGGCUAACUCCGUGCCAGCAGCCGCGGUAAUACGGAGGGUGCGAGCGUUGUCCGGAAUCACUGGGCGUAAGGGCGCGUAGGUGGUUAGAUGCGCCGGUGGUGAAAGCGCAGGGCUCAACCCUGCGUCGGCCAUCGGGACGGUCUGACUGGAGCACUGUAGAGGCAGGUGGAAUUCCGGGUGUAGCGGUGGAAUGCGUAGAGAUCCGGAAGAACACCGGUGGCGAAGGCGGCCUGCUGGGCAGUUGCUGACACUGAGGCGCGACAGCGUGGGGAGCAAACAGGAUUAGAUACCCUGGUAGUCCACGCCGUAAACGAUGGGCACUAGGUGCUUGGGGGAGCGACCCCCUGAGUGCCGACGCUAACGCAUUAAGUGCCCCGCCUGGGGAGUACGACCGCAAGGUUGAAACUCAAAGGAAUUGACGG
rnacentral:rRNA from 1 species